CCAUAGUCAAUAUUGGAUCAAAUAGACCCCCAAAGUUCGAAAAAUCAAAUAAUUAAACCCAUUUGACUAACGGCCCCCGUUAGUCAAUUUUAUUUUAUUGUUUAAUUAUUCUCUUCUUCUAAUUUCUACCCCCAUUUUUUUCUUCUUCCCAUGAGAGGACGGCGAAGCUCCCCCCAUGGUCGGAACCUGGAGAACAGAGAGACGACAACGCUACCUUGCUCUGGCGAACCACGACGAAGGCCGGAGCAACAGCGAUGAUUUCAGAGCCCAGAUUUCCAGGGCAUUUACAAUUGCAGCCACGACGGUGAUUUGCGAGUAUGCAACUCGUCGGACCCCAAAUCGAUGAAGCAGCCGCAACUUCGCCUCGCCGGAACCUCUGAGCCGCAGCGGCCUCGCCGAAAGUUCACGGUCAAAGCAGUAGAUUGAGAAAGAGAGGAGAAUUAGGGCUCGCCCCCUUUCUGCCUCGAUUAUGUGGAGUUGAGAAGAGAGUUCAGGC
rnacentral:lncRNA from 1 species